CCCUUAGAUGUUCUGGGCCGCACACGCGCUACACUGAAGGAGGCAGCGUGUACUCCUGGAUCGAAAGAUUUGGGUAACCCGCGAAUCUCCUUCGUGCUAGGGAUUGAGGUUUGCAAUUAUCCUUCAUGAACGAGGAAUUCCCAGUAAGUGCAAGUCAUAAGCUUGCGCUGACUACGUCCCUGCCCUUUGUACACACCGCCCGUCGCUACUACCGAUUGAAUGAUUUAGUGAGGACUUCGGACUGGGACCGAUGCGGCUUUCGGGCUGCGUCGGUAUUCUGGAAAGAUGUCCAAACUGUAUCAUUUAGAGGUAGUAAAAGUCGUAACA
rnacentral:rRNA from 1 species